UACGGAGGGGGCUAGCGUUGUUCGGAAUUACUGGGCGUAAAGCGCACGUAGGCGGCUUGAUAAGUUAGAGGUGAAAGCCCGGGGCUCAACUCCGGAAUAGCCUUUAAGACUGUCUCGCUUGAACGUCGGAGAGGUGAGUGGAAUUCCGAGUGUAGAGGUGAAAUUCGUAGAUAUUCGGAAGAACACCAGUGGCGAAGGCGGCUCACUGGACGACUGUUGACGCUGAGGUGCGAAAGCGUGGGGAGCAAACAGG
rnacentral:rRNA from 1 species